rnacentral:rRNA from 1 species
ACUCCUACGGGAGGCAGCAGUGAGGAAUAUUGGUCAAUGGACGCAAGUCUGAACCAGCCAUGUCGCGUGCAGGAAGACUGCCCUAUGGGUUGUAAACUGCUUUUAUACGGGAAGAAAUAUAGCUACGUGUAGUUAUUUGCCGGUACCGUAUGAAUAAGCAUCGGCUAACUCCGUGCCAGCAGCCGCGGUAAUACGGAGGAUGCGAGCGUUAUCCGGAUUCAUUGGGUUUAAAGGGGUGCGUAGGCGGAAGUAUAAGUCAGGGGUGAAAGUUUGUGGCUCAACCAUAAAAUUGCCUUUGAUACUGUAUUUCUUGAGUACAUUUGAGGUAGGCGGAAUGUGUUGUGUAGCGGUGAAAUGCUUAGAUAUAACACAGAACACCGAUUGCGAAGGCAGCUUACUAAACUGUAACUGACGCUGAUGCACGAAAGCGUGGGGAUCGAACAGGAUUAGAUACCCUGGUAGCACAGAG